UACGUAGGGUGCAAGCGUUGUCCGGAAUUAUUGGGGCGUAAAGAGCUUGUAGGCGGUUUGUCGCGUCUGCUGUGAAAUUUCGGGGCUCAACCCCGAACUUGCAGUGGGUACGGGCAGACUAGAGUGUGGUAGGGGAGACUGGAAUUCCUGGUGUAGCGGUGAAAUGCGCAGAUAUCAGGAGGAACACCGGUGGCGAAGGCGGAUCUCUGGGCCUUACCUGACGCUGAGGAGCGAAAGCAUGGGGAG
rnacentral:rRNA from 1 species